UAAAUGUCAAGUUCGAAGCUCUGAAUUCAAAAAUCAAGUAUUUGGAGAGUCAAAUUGCAUCCACCUCUGCUCUGAAGCAUCCUCAGCAACUUCCAGGGCAAGCAGUCCAAAAUCUUAAGGACUAUGCCACUGCUAAUGCUACCACCAUCCACCAAGAAGAUGAGUCUCCAUCAAGUCAUCAGACUCUCAAUACUGAGGACAGUAUGAUUCAAGAAGGGGGGGAUUCAACUCAAAUUGCUGCACCUGCCACCCAGCAAUUCAUCUGGACUAUUGAGCACACACCUUUGCUGAAUACUCAACAUUUUGGAAAAAGUUCAACACUGAAAAACUCAAGAAUGAUCAGAAUCAAGAGAUGAUUAGCAGCGCCUCCACUCAAGAAGCAUACAAGAAGAAAGUCAUCCAAGAAAAGCUUGAUGAUCCCGGUUCAUUCACUAUGUCAUGCUCUCUAGGACCAUUGACAUUCAAUAGGUGCCUUUGUGAUUUGGGAGCAUCUGUUAGCCUUAUGCCUCUCUCUACAGCUAAAAGGCUAGGGAUCAUGGAAUACAAGUUCUGCAACUUAGCUUUACUCUUAGUUGAUGGUUCUAUUGCACAUCUUCACGGUCUAAUAGAGAAUCUGCCUGUCAAGAUUGGAAAUGUUGAGAUACCUACAGAUUUUGUGGUAUUGGACGUAGAUGAAGAAGGCAAGGAUCCCCUGAUCCUAGGUAGCCUAUUCUUAGCUUCAGCUGGAGCAGUCAUAGAUGUCAGGAAUGAAAAAAUUAAUCUGAACCUUGAAAAAGGCAUCAAGAUGAAGUUUUACAUUAGAGAAGCUUCAGGGAAAUCAACAACAUGAGUUCAGAAUUUUGGGAUUCAGGACAUGGAUGUUGAUGAAGAAACAGAAGUUGGAACCUCACCAAAAGUCAACUAUACUUCUCAACUCAGCAAGCUGAAGAGAACUUUUGACCACAAGAAGAAAGCAACAGAAAGGCUAGCUCAGAUUGAAGAUCCUACAGAAGAUGACUGGUAUGAGAUGAGAAAAAAAUUUAAAUGGCAAAGCAGAGUCAUAGAGGGAUUAUCUUCAAGGGUGAUGAAGCUGAAAGAUCGGCUAUGGAUGUGUGAAAAAAGAGUCAAUAAAUUUUCAAAUGGUAUUGAUCGAGAGAAGAUGGAAACUGCACUAGCUAUCAAGGAGGACGAAAAUUUCACAACAUAAUGGUUUGCACCAAAAGAUUAGACAGGAGUUCACUUAGAGGAAAGAAGCCUAGAGAGCAAGUUGUUGAGUGAGGAGGAAACUCCUAUUCUGACUUAUUCUCCAGGAGUACCUAAACCAACCACCAACCCCUCUACUUAAGAAGAACACUUGAUUCAUGAUUCUGUUGCUGAAGAAGUCCUGGUGCUGUGGGUUGGAUACAAAGCUCAAGAGGAUACCAUUGGGGAGGUAACUUACAAGAUGGAAGGACUGAACCAUGCAAUCUUGGAACUUCAAGAAAUGGUUAAAGGCUACCCCAAUUUUGAAUUUGAGGAUUGGUCAAAGGAACCUGGUUCAGAAGAAGAAGAUUACUCUGCUGAUCAGAAGGAAGCUUAUUUUGAAGAAAAAUCAAAUGAGUACUCAUCCUACCAUAUCUCAAGAGAGGAUGUAAAGUAUGAUUCAAGCAUUAAAAAUUCAACCACUAAAGAUGAGGACUUCUCUGAUCCUCUCUUAAACCUUUUUUCUAACUAAGCUCUAUAAGAGUCAAGCUUAGUGACUUAAAACAAGCUCACUUGGGAGGAAGUCCCAUGUCAAUCCAUGUAUAUAACUUUUUAUUUUUCCUUGUUAUUUUUGAUGUUUUUGUUUAAGUGUUUCAGGUUUGUUUUAGUGACCCUAAGGGAGUCAACGGUCGAGUAAAUUUAAACCAAGUCAAGAAAAAUCUCAACCGUUGAUCGAGUAGAAUGGGGAGGAGCAUUUUGAGCCAUUGAUUUGGAUGACCAAAUGAGAGGAGCAUCACCACCGUUUGAUCGAGUGAAUUCCUGAAGUUCAUUUUGGUCUGUUUGAUCGAGUAAACAAGAAUGAGGAGCUCUCCACCGUUGGAUCGAAUUUUGCGUAACUCAAGAAGAUGCUCGAUUCUUUACUCGAGCUCUCAUUAUUUGGAGACCAAAGCUUUGAAGUUUUCAUUCCAAACCCUUCCCCUAAAACGCUCCCUAUCACUCUUUAAGAAUCUGUUCCCCUUCACCAAUACAUCACCAAAGUUACUCAAUCACUCCAAAGUCUAUCCUCAAGCAUUCAAUCGGUUUCAAGCUCCAAAUUUCAUCACCAAAGAAACCGAUUCCCUUCUCCUUUGAUACCUCUUAGAGAAGUGUUCUUGUUUGCCUUGUCAAAGCUCACCACCAAUCUCCAUGGAUUCAAGAAGGAAGAGUUCAUCUCGGGCAAGAAGAUCCUCUGUUGAUAAUGAGGAAGUUGAGGUGUUUGACAUGAGUGGCAUGACUGAACGCCAAAUUUGCCAAGCUCGCCGUGCUCAAAAAACAAGCUUGAUUCAAGGAGGAAGCUCAAGCCGCUCAACCAUGCAAAGAGAAGAAGUAGCUCGGGGAAAGAGGCUCGUUGAAGCUGAAGAAGAACACCAUGAAGAGGCUCCCUUUGAAGAAGCGGUUUCUGCGGAAGAGUUUGAGAUCAUCGGGGAUGAUACACCAACCCCUGUUGGGAGAAGAAACCGACCAAGGAGGAAGAGAGAGCCAACCCCGAGCGAGUAAUAUCAAUAUUUGAGGGAGUUGAAGUUUGAGGGAACUAGAUACCCUCAUAAGGAAACGAUGCAAGAGCUUGGUAUUUAAGGUGAUGUUGAAUACUUGAUGGAAUUGGCCAAUCUUGCAACAUUGAUGAGCUGCCAAUGUGGGGGAUACAAAGAGGAGAGCUGCCAACUCCAUGCAACCCUCAAGGUUCAUUUCUGUGUUGAUGAUUCAGAGAAAAAAGAGAGAGGAGGUCUUGGUUACAUAACUUUCAAAGUUAGGGAUGUCGAUUAUACUCUUGAUAUUUGCCACCUUGAUACCAUUUUUGGGUUCCGAAGUGGAGAAGGAAUCCGCGAAGACUAUGAUCAAGAAGAGCUGAAAUCUCUUUGGAAGACAAUAGCCGGUCUGAAGCCCUUCUUGCCAACCAAGAGCAAGAGUUCUUCAAUCUGUAAUCCCGUGAUUAGAUACCUCCACCAAUGCAUUGCCAACACCCUCUUUCCAAAGAAGGCCACCGGAUUUGUUAGUGAAGAGGAGUUGUGCAUGAUAGACCAAUCUUUAGUCUUCAUUUUGAGGGAGACAAGAGAUGAGAGGAAGAUGGCGGGUGAUAGAGCGGACACCUCGUUGAGUGUUGUUAUCUUGGAUCACUUAUUCAGUUACAAGGAGUAUGCUGCAACCAUCCAUCGCGCGGGAAUUCGCGGGAGUCUUUGUGUUGGUGGUCUCUUAACGCCAAUACUAGGAGCUGUGGGUAUGGAAUUCGGAACCCCUGACGUGUUGCCUAAGUUCAUUGACCUAGACUAUCUCAAGGGGAAGGAUUUUCUUGAGAAAACAACUCCGGCGGAUCACUAUCUCUUCAAGUUCAACCACUCGGAGCUUGGACCUUCUCUUCUACCCCUACCAUGCGAGAACCGGACUUCGGUGAAGACAAGGCGCAACAUCAAUUUUAUGCCAUCUCCCUCUGCCUUGAACAUAGACAUUCGAGGAGCUCGGGAAGAUGAACUAGAAUGUAGUCCAGUCGACUAUGAGCAACAUGAGUACUUUACUCAAGCUAAUUAUGAGGAGCAAAUCGAGUUUGAGCAACAUAUUGAUCAACCCGGAGCAAGGGACCACCGAACAAGAGCAAGCUCAUUAUGAAGAAGGUGCUAACCAAGAGGGAGAUGAGAUAGCUGAAGUUCACAAGAAGCUCGGUGUGCUUGAAGAGCUUGGAAACCUUCACAGCAAGACAAAAAAGAGUUUCAAGAAGAAGAUGAGAACAAUGAAGAAGUCAUUGAAGAGUAUGGCUGCUCAACUCAAGGAUUUCCAGAGCAAGCCAACGCCACCGUCUUCCAACCCCGAAGUAAGAAGAAGCGGUUCAACGAGCUCAGCUACAAGGAGAGCUGAAAGGAUCGAUCAACCCCGAGCUUCAUCUUUUGAGCCUCGGGAAAUGAUCUCCGAGUAGAGAGAUCCAAGGAGUAGGCAGAGACGAGCUUCACACGCUCGACCGGACAGAACGAGCAACACCCUCCCGCCUCAACUUCAGCCCCUGCCUAUACCCAAGAGAGUAUGGAUGACUAUGUCUCCAUCUACAUCACCUGAUCACUGAGGUAACACCACCUCACUCAUUGUACAUACCAUUAGCAUUUUUU
rnacentral:sRNA from 1 species